CCUACGGGCGGCAGCAGUGGGGAAUAUUGCACAAUGGGGGAAACCCUGAUGCAGCGACGCCGCGUGAGCGAUGAAGUAUUUCGGUAUGUAAAGCUCUAUCAGCAGGGAAGAAAAUGACGGUAACUUACUAAGAAGCCCCGGCUAACUACGUGCCCGCAGCCGCGGUAAUACGUAGGGGGCAAGCGUUAUCCGGAUUUACUGGGUGUAAAGGGAGCGUAGACGGUCCUGCAAGCCAGAGGGGAAAGCCCGGGGCUAAACCCCGGGACUGCAUUUGGAACUGUAAGGCUGGAGGGUCGGAGGGGCAGGCGGAAGUCCUGGUGUAGCGGUGAAAUGCGGAGAUAUUAGGAGGAACACCAGUGGCGAAGGCGGCCUGCGGGACGAUGACUGACGUUGAGGCUCGAAAGCGUGGGGAGCAAACAGGAUUAGAUACCCUAGUAGGC
rnacentral:rRNA from 1 species